UGAAAAUAUACUUCAAGUUCUUAACACAUGGUAGAAAUUUUGACAAUUGUUGUACAUCUGAAGACAAUGGGCAGGUUGUUAAAGCAAACAAUCAAAGGGAAACCACAUCUAAAAAGAUGGGUUUUAAAACCAUUCGGAUCCUUUUAGAUGCCACCUUGAAAUGUAGGUUAAUCACAUGUAUGAGGAGCGCAGGCUGCUUGUGGCCCAAUCAUGUGGAGAACUUGCAAAAUUUGUUCACCCCAAGAUACAUGACUAUCUCAUUUUAUCAAUUGUGGCCCAAUCAUGUGGAGAACUCGCAGAAUUCGUUCACCCCAAGAUACAUGCCUAUCUCAUUUUAUCCAUUGUGGCCCAAUCAUGUGGAGAACUUUCUUGAACUAUAUGCAGGGUAAUGCUUCAAUCGUAAACAAGAAAUACGCUUGUUAUAAAAAUAAGAGUUUAAUCAUUAAAGAGGGAGUGAGAGAGUCAUUUGUGUUCACCCAACCCAUUCUUAGUGUGACGAUAGAAUUCUGUACAAUCGUCAGCUUUCAUAUAUAAUGGUGCUGCUCGUGGAAAAGGACUAACUUCACCAAAUUAACUCAAUUGAGUUUUGUUAGAAUAUUUCUUAAUAGUUAAUCUAAUCCAUUAUUGGAUUACUAUUUCAGUUUUAAUAUGUUGCUGGUAAUCAAACUAGACGAACACAAAAUUCCAUAGAGAGGCCUAAGGGUUACUGUUGCAAUGCAUCAGGUCGAUAUACCUAUACAGCAAAGCUGCCUGUGGUAUCUUUCAAGCAUUGGAGACAAGGAUCCACAAGCCUCUGGCACAUACAUAUUUCGACCAGAUGGCGCUCCUCAAACAGCUGCUUCAAGAUCGGUACCCUUGAAGAUUGUGCGAGGACCUCUAGUUAAUGAAGUUCAUCAACAAUUCAAUCUGUGGAUUUAUUAGCUUUCUUUGAUACACUGGUCAUGUUGAAUUGUGUUAGAAGAUAUCAACAACAAUAUAGAACUGAGAGAUGUUUGCUUUAGCUACCUUGCAAGACCUGACAUUUAUGUAUUUUGUGGGUUCUCGUUUCAUGUUCCAAGC